GCAAGUCGAGCGAGGUAGCAAUACCUAGUGGCGGACGGGUGAGUAACGCGUGGGAACGUACCCUUUGCUACGGAAUAGCCCCGGGAAACUGGGAGUAAUACCGUAUGUGCCCUUCGGGGGAAAGAUUUAUCGGCAAAGGAUCGGCCCGCGUUGGAUUAGGUAGUUGGUGGGGUAAUGGCCUACCAAGCCGACGAUCCAUAGCUGGUUUGAGAGGAUGAUCAGCCACACUGGGACUGAGACACGGCCCAGACUCCUACGGGAGGCAGCAGUUGGGAAUCUUAGACAAUGGGCGCAAGCCUGAUCUAGCCAUGCCGCGUGAGUGAUGAAGGCCUUAGGGUUGUAAAGCUCUUUCAGAUGGGAAGAUAAUGACGGUACCAUCAGAAGAAGCCCCGGCUAACUCCGUG
rnacentral:rRNA from 1 species